GUUCCCGCGCCCCGGCCCCGCCUCUCCCGAGGACCUUGACCUCGCGCGGACCUCGUCGCCACCGUUAGCUCUCCCUGACCUGCUUUUGAACCCGCUAAUCCCGCCGCGAACUCUCGCCCCGCGGCGAUCCCUCGCCCGGCCCGGCGCGCUAAUUCCCGCUGACCCGCCGCCUCUCUCCGCCUGCGCGGCUUUGACAGCGGCGACGGCUUCCGGCCUGAGUCCGGGAGUGAGCAGGUGUGCAGACCAGGACGCUCCGCAUGGCCCCGACGCGCGCUCACACGCCCUCGAACCGAAGCAAACGUUCACACUGUAAACGCUGUCCCGCUUUCUCGUUUCCCUUCCAAUUCAUUUAAGGAACUAUCAGCCCCACGAAGAUCAAAGUCGCGUAACACGCUAAACUGGCGUCGCUGUGGGGAAGCCGGCACUUACACACGUGGCUGGCAGACAACCUGGGCGCAGGAAGCCGGCUGCCAGAACUCGGCGCCAAGCGCAGGCGAAGGUGUGAUCCUUCCUAUUUUUAAAGGGAGGAGCGGAUAUGGGGCAAGAA
rfam:Tupaia chinensis contig68978, whole genome shotgun sequence.